AGUGGCGAACGGGUGAGUAACACGUGGGUGAUCUGCCCUGCACUUCGGGAUAAGCCUGGGAAACUGGGUCUAAUACCGGAUAGGAGCCAUUUUUAGUGUGAUGGUUGGAAAGUUUUUUCGGUGUAAGAUGAGCUCGCGGCCUAUCAGCUUGUUGGUGGGGUAAUGGCCUACCAAGGCGGCGACGGGUAGCCGGCCUGAGAGGGUGGACGGCCACAUUGGGACUGAGAUACGGCCCAGACUCCUACGGGAGGCAGCAGUGGGGAAUAUUGCACAAUGGGCGCAAGCCUGAUGCAGCGACGCCGCGUGGGGGAUGACGGCCUUCGGGUUGUAAACUCCUUUCGCUAGGGACGAAGCUUUUUGUGACGGUACCUAGAUAAGAAGCACCGGCUAACUACGUGCCAGCAGCCGCGGUAAUACGUAGGGUGCGAGCGUUGUCCGGAAUUACUGGGCGUAAAGGGCUCGUAGGUGGUUUGUCGCGUCGUCUGUGAAAUUCCGGGGCUUAACUCCGGGCGUGCAGGCGAUACGGGCAUAACUUGAGUACUGUAGGGGUAACUGGAAUUCCUGGUGUAGCGGUGAAAUGCGCAGAUAUCAGGAGGAACACCGAUGGCGAAGGCAGGUUACUGGGCAGUUACUGACGCUGAGGAGCGAAAGCAUGGGUAGCGAACAGGAUUAGAUACCCUGGUAGUCCAUGCCGUAAACGGUGGG
rnacentral:rRNA from 1 species